GAUGAACGCUGGCGGCGUGCCUAAUACAUGCAAGUCGAGCGAACAGACGAGGAGCUUGCUCCUCUGACGUUAGCGGCGGACGGGUGAGUAACACGUGGAUAACCUACCUAUAAGACUGGGAUAACUUCGGGAAACCGGAGCUAAUACCGGAUAAUAUAUUGAACCGCAUGGUUCAAUAGUGAAAGACGGUUUUGCUGUCACUUAUAGAUGGAUCCGCGCCGCAUUAGCUAGUUGGUAAGGUAACGGCUUACCAAGGCAACGAUGCGUAGCCGACCUGAGAGGGGGAUCGGCCACACGGGAACUGAGACACGGUCCAGACUCCUACGGGAGGCAGCAGUAGGGAAUCUGCCGCAAUGGGCGAAAGCCUGACGGAGCAACGCCGCGUGAGAGAUGAAGGUCUUCGGAUCGUAAAACUCUGUUAUUAGGGAAGAACAAAUGUGUAAGUAACUAUGCACGUCUUGACGGUACCUAAUCAGAAAGCCACGGCUAACUACGUG
rnacentral:rRNA from 1 species